UGACUGGAGUCUUAUGACUGCACCAGUGGUUGACUGGAGUCUUAUGACUGCACCAGUGGUUUCACUGGUGCAGUCAUAAGACUCCAGUCA
rnacentral:pre_miRNA from 1 species